UAUGAGAAUGAGGCUCAGGGAGGCUAAGGAACUUGUCCCAGUGCUACAUUCAAGGGGAUGGUGACUUUCCCUCUUCUUAGUACUUGAGUUAUUUCAAUGUUGUUAAAGUGGAAAUCUGUUUUCCUGUCAUCCACAUCUCCCUGCUGACUCAUUCUGGAACCACUUUGACUAAAACCCCCAGAUAUUUUCAUACUGGCCAUGUCUCCUCUAUUCUCCGGUUGUGCUUUGUCUUAUUUUUUUGGACUUAAGUGAACUUAUUAUUGAGCAGACAGGUGGAUGACUAUGAGGA
rnacentral:lncRNA from 10 species